GACGAACGCUGGCGGCGUGCCUAAUACAUGCAAGUAGAACGCUGAAGAGAGGAGCUUGCUCUUCUUGGAUGAGUUGCGAACGGGUGAGUAACGCGUAGGUAACCUGCCUUGUAGCGGGGGAUAACUAUUGGAAACGAUAGCUAAUACCGCAUAACAAUGGAUGACACAUGUCAUUUAUUUGAAAGGGGCAAUUGCUCCACUACAAGAUGGACCUGCGUUGUAUUAGCUAGUAGGUGAGGUAACGGCUCACCUAGGCGACGAUACAUAGCCGACCUGAGAGGGUGAUCGGCCACACUGGGACUGAGACACGGCCCAGACUCCUACGGGAGGCAGCAGUAGGGAAUCUUCGGCAAUGGGGGCAACCCUGACCGAGCAACGCCGCGUGAGUGAAGAAGGUUUUCGGAUCGUAAAGCUCUGUUGUAAGUCAAGAACGAGUGUGAGAGUGGAAAGUUCACACUGUGACGGUAGCUUACCAGAAAGGGACGGCUAACUACGUGCCAGCAGCCGCGGUAAUACGUAGGUCCCGAGCGUUGUCCGGAUUUAUUGGGCGUAAAGCGAGCGCAGGCGGUUUGAUAAGUCUGAAGUUAAAGGCUGUGGCUCAACCAUAGUUCGCUUUGGAAACUGUCAAACUUGAGUGCAGAAGGGGAGAGUGGAAUUCCAUGUGUAGCGGUGAAAUGCGUAGAUAUAUGGAGGAACACCGGUGGCGAAAGCGGCUCUCUGGUCUGUAACUGACGCUGAGGCUCGAAAGCGUGGGGAGCGAACAGGACUAGAUACCCUGGUAGUCCACGCCGUAAACGAUGAGUGCUAGGUGUUGGAUCCUUUCCGGGAUUCAGUGCCGCAGCUAACGCAUUAAGCACUCCGCCUGGGGAGUACGACCGCAAGGUUGAAACUCAAAGGAAUUGACGGGGGCCCGCACAAGCGGUGGAGCAUGUGGUUUAAUUCGAAGCAACGCGAAGAACCUUACCAGGUCUUGACAUCCCGAUGCUAUUUCUAGAGAUAGAAAGUUACUUCGGUACAUCGGUGACAGGUGGUGCAUGGUUGUCGUCAGCUCGUGUCGUGAGAUGUUGGGUUAAGUCCCGCAACGAGCGCAACCCCUAUUGUUAGUUGCCAUCAUUCAGUUGGGCACUCUAGCGAGACUGCCGGUAAUAAACCGGAGGAAGGUGGGGAUGACGUCAAAUCAUCAUGCCCCUUAUGACCUGGGCUACACACGUGCUACAAUGGUUGGUACAACGAGUUGCGAGUCGGUGACGGCAAGCUAAUCUCUUAAAGCCAAUCUCAGUUCGGAUUGUAGGCUGCAACUCGCCUACAUGAAGUCGGAAUCGCUAGUAAUCGCGGAUCAGCACGCCGCGGUGAAUACGUUCCCGGGCCU
rnacentral:rRNA from 1 species